ACAAAUCUAUGAAAGGUGCAUCAAAAAAAAAAGCUGAAACAGCUGCAAGUAAAAUGGCAUUUAAAAGGGAAGAAGGGAUACAGCUGCUGCAAAUCACAUUCUGAAUCCUCACAUAGCCUAGAUAGGUCUAAAGGAGCCUUCAGUUAUAUUCAGAUGUACAGCUGAAUAUUGAGUGCUCUGUUUACUAAUCAGCAAAGUGAAACAGUAAACCAAGGCUUUGCUUAGCAACUUCACUGUUUUGUGUGACGACUGAAAAUGGGUCUGGCUGGAAGGGGCAAAAGGGGAAAGAAGGGAGAGAGAAAAAGGGAAAAAAGUAACUGGAAUGUAAGUUCUUUUACGUUUGACGACAGAAGCUCUUCAUUUUACAGCUUUAAUCUUACAACCCCCACUGCCCACACUGGCACACGCACAACUGCAUUUCAACUUCAGUGCAAGAAACAGCACUGAACCAGUUCUACGUAUGAUUAAUUGCAAAGGACAUGGCUGACCAUAUGGAACGGAGGAAGCAUCAGGAAUUUGUGAUGACAGACGCUGAAAGGUAUGACGUGGAGACUUCUGAUGGCCCCUGACCAGAUGAAGCUGUGGAUGUACCGGAAGAACCACUGGAACUCUGGGCUAUUUACUUAAGGAAAACCAGGAAUCUAUCUGUGGCUACACCACAUGACUGUAGCAAGGGGCACCUUGGCCUGAGUUGCAACACCAGUUCUAUGAAAAGCAAAGAUUGCUGGGUUUCUACUGAGUGACUUUAAAACUGAAGAGCAAAUCACAGAGAUGAACUGAAUGUUAACCAGAAUCAAGUAAAGCACAGGUGUGCUCAUUUUUUAUUUAAGUCAGAAGUGAAGCUUGGUUUUACAUUUCAGUCCAGAAAUAAAAUGCACUUAAAUUAAA